rnacentral:rRNA from 1 species
CCUACGGGAGGCAGCAGUGAGGAAUAUUGGUCAAUGGCCGGAAGGCUGAACCAGCCAAGCCGCGUGAAGGACGAAGGUGCCAAGCAUUGUAAACUUCUUUUCUCAGGGACGAAGAAAGUGACGGUACCUGAGGAAUAAGCCACGGCUAACUACGUGCGAGCAGCCGCGGUAAUACGUAGGUGGCAAGCGUUAUCCGGAUUUAUUGGGUGUAAAGGGCGUGUAGGCGGGAGCGCAAGUCAGAUGUGAAAACUCAGGGCUCAACCCUGAGCCUGCAUUUGAAACUGUGUUUCUUGAGUGCUGGAGAGGCAAUCGGAAUGCCGUGUGUAGCGGUGAAAUGCGUAGAUAUACGGAGGAACACCAGUGGCGAAGGCGGAUUGCUGGACAGUAACUGAUGCUGAGGCGCGAAAGCGUGGGGAGCAAACAGGAUUAGAUACCCCAGUAGUC